ACCUACGGGACGCAGCAGUGGGGAAUAUUGGACAAUGGACCGAGAGUCUGAUCCAGCAAUUCUGUGUGCACGAUGAAGUUUUUCGGAAUGUAAAGUGCUUUCAGUUGGGAAGAAACAAAUGACGGUACCAACAGAAGAAGUGACGGCUAAAUACGUGCCAGCAGCCGCGGUAAUACGUAUGUCACGAGCGUUAUCCGGAUUUAUUGGGCGUAAAGCGCGUCUAGGUGGUUAUGUAAGUCUGAUGUGAAAAUGCAGGGCUCAACUCUGUAUUGCGUUGGAAACUGUAUAACUAGAGUACUGGAGAG
rnacentral:rRNA from 1 species